CGCACACCCAGUGCAAUUUCUCUCUGCUC
rnacentral:piRNA from 1 species